UACGUAGGGUGCGAGCGUUAAUCGGAAUUACUGGGCGUAAAGCGUGCGUAGGCGGUUCGUUAAGUGCGUCGUGAAAGCCCCGGGCUCAACCUGGGAAUGGCGAUGGAUACUGGCGGGCUAGAGUGCGGUAGAGGGUGGUGGAAUUCCCGGUGUAGUGGUGAAAUGCGUAGAUAUCGGGAGGAACACCAGUGGCGAAGGCGGCUUCCUGGCCUGUUCUUGACGCUGAGGCGCGAAAGCUAGGGGAGCAAACGGG
rnacentral:rRNA from 1 species